GCCACCUACAGCCCGGGAGGUUGAGCGUCAUGGCUGCUGCUUGCCCUCUCCCGGCGACCCAGGACCUGCCCACGCUGCAUGCCAAGUUACAGGGACUGCUGCGGUUCCUGAGGGACGCUCUGCCUAUUUCCAACGCGCACACGGUGGACUUCUACACAGAGUCCGUGUGGGAAAAGCUGGUUGACUUGUCUCCGGAGACUGUGCUGGCUGUGUUGAAGAGGUCCGCGGCGGAGGCGGAGGCGGAGGCCGGGUUUUCGGAGGCGCGCCCCCUGGUGGAAGCAGAGGCGCGAGCAGGUGUUAGUGAUUUUCCAAAAGCAUUUUGUGAAACUUCUCAGAAGCUAGUGAGUGUGGAAGCCUUUGCUCUGGCUGCAAAAUAUUAUUCUGUUCAAAACUUGGGAAUGUGUACUUCUUUUGAACAGUUGCUUGUAGCUCUUCAAGGAAAUAAAAAACAGAGGACUGCUGAAAAUUUGAAGCCAGUUGAGUUUAUGAAUAUGAAAAAAUCUCAUGAAGUUCAGGCAAUGUCACAGCUGAUCUGCAGUAUUACUGAUUACUAUGGAGUAAAGCAGGUUAUUGACCUGGGUUCUGGGAAAGGCUAUUUAAGCUCCUUUUUGUCCUUGAAGUAUGGCUUAAAAGUUUAUGGAAUUGAUUCUUCAAAUACCAAUACUCAUGGGGCUAAGGAGAGAAACAGGAAAUUGAAAAAACAUUGGAAACACUAUCAUACUCAAUCAAGAGUAGAUGUGAAUGGAGUGGCCUUAAAAAUGGCAAAAGAAAGGAAAGUGCAAAAUGAAAUUAAGUAUAAUGCAAACGUUGAAGAAACAUAUAAUAACAGUUCUGCAAAUCAAGAAAAAAUGUCUCCCUCAGAUUAUUUGCCAGAUUUUUCAGGCUCUGUAAUUUCUGACAUCAGAAAACAAAUGGAAAACCUACACGCUCAACCACAUGGAGAAGAUAAUUUGUGUUUUGAAAAUUCCUUUUCUCUGAUAGACUUUUUACCUAUCAAUGCUGUAGAGACAAACUCUUCAUCUCAAAUAAUCAACCGAGAAAUUUCUGAAGCAAAUAAAGAGAGAAGAAAAUUGGCAUCAAAGUCAAACGAAUCAAAUAUAUAUUCACCGUUAACCUCUUUUAUCACUGCUGAUUCUGAACUACAUGACAUUAUUAAAGAUCUGGAGGAAUGUUUAAUGGUGGGUCUACAUACUUGUGGUGAUCUUGCUUCAAAUACUCUGCGAAUAUUUGCUUCCAAUUCAGAAAUCAAGGGAGUUUGCAGUGUGGGUUGUUGCUACCACCUCUUAUCUGAAGAGUUUGAAAAUGAACAUAAAGAAUGUAUCCAAGAAAAGUGGGGAUUUCCAAUGUGCCAUUAUUUAAAGGAAGAGAGGUGGUGCUGUGGUCGUAAUGCCAGAAUGUCAGCCUGUUUGGCAUUGGAGCGGGUUGCACUUGGCCAAGGGCUGCCUACUGAAUCACUCUUCUAUCGUGCUGUUCUUCAGGAUAUUAUUAAAGAUUGUUAUGGCAUCACAAAAUGUGAGCAGCAUGUUGGUAAAAUCUAUUCCAAAUGUUCUUCUUUUCUGGAUUAUGUCAGAAAGUCUCUAAAGAAGCUUGGAUUAGAUGAGUCCAAGUUGCCAGAAAAAAUUAUAAUGGACUACUAUGAGAAGUAUAAACCUAGAAUGGAUGAGCUGGAAGCAUUCAAUAUGUUGAAAGUAUUUCUGGCUCCUUGUAUAGAAACAUUGAUUCUUCUGGAUCGACUUUGUUACCUUAAAGAGCAGGAAAUCUGUCUUCACUUCAGCAGGACUAUGAAGGCAGCAUGUUAUCUGCUAAUUGAGGAACCUGACUAUUGAUGUUGGGCCCAGAACCAGCCACCUCUGCCUUGAUUGAUGCUUUCAAAAUAGCUACCUCGCAACCUGCUUCUCUUCUCUCAGGAUACAGUUUCCUUCAGAGCUUGCAUGAGAGCAUCCAGUUGUGUCCUAGGAUACAACAUGAACGUAUAAGACCAACACAAAGACACAAAGGACUUUGAUGGAAGGACUGAUAUGAUUUAAAAACUUUUCAACAAUGAGCAGAGAUCAUGGGGAAAAAGGAUAAAAGAUC